UUAAGUUAUUAAGGGCGCACGGUGGAUGCCUUGGCACUAGAAGCCGAUGAAGGACGUUACUAACGACGAUAUGCUUUGGGGAGCUGUAAGUAAGCUUUGAUCCAGAGAUUUCCGAAUGGGGAAACCCAGCAUGAGUUAUGUCAUGUUAUCGAUAUGUGAAUACAUAGCAUAUCAGAAGGCACACCCGGAGAACUGAAACAUCUUAGUACCCGGAGGAAGAGAAAGAAAAUUCGAUUCCCUUAGUAGCGGCGAGCGAAACGGGAAGAGCCCAAACCAACAAGCUUGCUUGUUGGGGUUGUAGGACACUCUAUACGGAGUUACAAAGGACGACAUUAGACGAAUCAUCUGGAAAGAUGAAUCAAAGAAGGUAAUAAUCCUGUAGUCGAAAAUGUUGUCUCUCUUGAGUGGAUCCUGAGUACGACGGAGCACGUGAAAUUCCGUCGGAAUCUGGGAGGACCAUCUCCUAAGGCUAAAUACUCUCUAGUGACCGAUAGUGAACCAGUACCGUGAGGGAAAGGUGAAAAGCACCCCGGAAGGGGAGUGAAAUAGAACCUGAAACCGUGUGCUUACAAGUAGUCAGAGCCCGUUAAUGGGUGAUGGCGUGCCUUUUGUAGAAUGAACCGGCGAGUUACGAUUUGAUGCAAGGUUAAGCAGUAAAUGUGGAGCCGUAGCGAAAGCGAGUCUGAAUAGGGCGUUUAGUAUUUGGUCGUAGACCCGAAACCAGGUGAUCUACCCUUGGUCAGGUUGAAGUUCAGGUAACACUGAAUGGAGGACCGAACCGACUUACGUUGAAAAGUGAGCGGAUGAACUGAGGGUAGCGGAGAAAUUCCAAUCGAACCUGGAGAUAGCUGGUUCUCUCCGAAAUAGCUUUAGGGCUAGCCUCAAGUGAUGAUUAUUGGAGGUAGAGCACUGUUUGGACGAGGGGCCCCUCUCGGGUUACCGAAUUCAGACAAACUCCGAAUGCCAAUUAAUUUAACUUGGGAGUCAGAACAUGGGUGAUAAGGUCCGUGUUCGAAAGGGAAACAGCCCAGACCACCAGCUAAGGUCCCAAAAUAUAUGUUAAGUGGAAAAGGAUGUGGCGUUGCCCAGACAACUAGGAUGUUGGCUUAGAAGCAGCCAUCAUUUAAAGAGUGCGUAAUAGCUCACUAGUCGAGUGACACUGCGCCGAAAAUGUACCGGGGCUAAACAUAUUACCGAAGCUGUGGAUUGUCCUUUGGACAAUGGUAGGAGAGCGUUCUAAGGGCGUUGAAGCAUGAUCGUAAGGACAUGUGGAGCGCUUAGAAGUGAGAAUGCCGGUGUGAGUAGCGAAAGACGGGUGAGAAUCCCGUCCACCGAUUGACUAAGGUUUCCAGAGGAAGGCUCGUCCGCUCUGGGUUAGUCGGGUCCUAAGCUGAGGCCGACAGGCGUAGGCGAUGGAUAACAGGUUGAUAUUCCUGUACCACCUAUAAUCGUUUUAAUCGAUGGGGGGACGCAGUAGGAUAGGCGAAGCGUGCGAUUGGAUUGCACGUCUAAGCAGUAAGGCUGAGUAUUAGGCAAAUCCGGUACUCGUUAAGGCUGAGCUGUGAUGGGGAGAAGACAUUGUGUCUUCGAGUCGUUGAUUUCACACUGCCGAGAAAAGCCUCUAGAUAGAAAAUAGGUGCCCGUACCGCAAACCGACACAGGUAGUCAAGAUGAGAAUUCUAAGGUGAGCGAGCGAACUCUCGUUAAGGAACUCGGCAAAAUGACCCCGUAACUUCGGGAGAAGGGGUGCUCUUUAGGGUUAACGCCCAGAAGAGCCGCAGUGAAUAGGCCCAAGCGACUGUUUAUCAAAAACACAGGUCUCUGCUAAACCGUAAGGUGAUGUAUAGGGGCUGACGCCUGCCCGGUGCUGGAAGGUUAAGAGGAGUGGUUAGCUUCUGCGAAGCUACGAAUCGAAGCCCCAGUAAACGGCGGCCGUAACUAUAACGGUCCUAAGGUAGCGAAAUUCCUUGUCGGGUAAGUUCCGACCCGCACGAAAGGCGUAACGAUUUGGGCACUGUCUCAACGAGAGACUCGGUGAAAUCAUAGUACCUGUGAAGAUGCAGGUUACCCGCGACAGGACGGAAAGACCCCGUGGAGCUUUACUGUAGCCUGAUAUUGAAAUUCGGCACAGCUUGUACAGGAUAGGUAGGAGCCUUUGAAACGUGAGCGCUAGCUUACGUGGAGGCGCUGGUGGGAUACUACCCUAGCUGUGUUGGCUUUCUAACCCGCACCACUUAUCGUGGUGGGAGACAGUGUCAGGCGGGCAGUUUGACUGGGGCGGUCGCCUCCUAAAAGGUAACGGAGGCGCUCAAAGGUUCCCUCAGAAUGGUUGGAAAUCAUUCAUAGAGUGUAAAGGCAUAAGGGAGCUUGACUGCGAGACCUACAAGUCGAGCAGGGUCGAAAGACGGACUUAGUGAUCCGGUGGUUCCGCAUGGAAGGGCCAUCGCUCAACGGAUAAAAGCUACCCCGGGGAUAACAGGCUUAUCUCCCCCAAGAGUUCACAUCGACGGGGAGGUUUGGCACCUCGAUGUCGGCUCAUCGCAUCCUGGGGCUGUAGUCGGUCCCAAGGGUUGGGCUGUUCGCCCAUUAAAGCGGUACGCGAGCUGGGUUCAGAACGUCGUGAGACAGUUCGGUCCCUAUCCGUCGUGGGCGUAGGAAAUUUGAGAGGAGCUGUCCUUAGUACGAGAGGACCGGGAUGGACAUACCUCUGGUGUACCAGUUGUCGUGCCAACGGCAUAGCUGGGUAGCUAUGUGUGGACGGGAUAAGUGCUGAAAGCAUCUAAGCAUGAAGCCCCCCUCAAGAUGAGAUUUCCCAACUUCGGUUAUAAGAUCCCUCAAAGAUGAUGAGGUUAAUAGGUUCGAGGUGGAAGCAUGGUGACA
rnacentral:rRNA from 1 species